rnacentral:rRNA from 1 species
CCCUUCGGGGUGUAAAGCUCUUUCGACAGGGAAGAUUAUGACGGUACCGGGAGAAUAAGCUGCGGCUAACUACGUGCCAGCAGCCGCGGUAAUACGUAGGCGGCAAGCGUUGUUCGGAAUUACUGGGCGUAAAGGGUGUGUAGGCGGUUCUCUAAGUUUGGUGUGAAAUCUCCCGGCUCAACCGGGAGGGUGCGCCGAAAACUGGAGGGCUUGAGUGUGGGAGAGGUAAGUGGAAUUCCUGGUGUAGCGGUGAAAUGCGUAGAUAUCAGGAGGAACACCUGUGGUGUAAACGGCUUUCUGGACCAUAACUGACGCUGAGACACGAAAGCGUGGGUAGCAAACAGGAUUAGAUACCCUGGUAGUCCACGCCCUAAACGAUGCAUACUUGGUGUGGGCGAUUCAUUUCGUUCGUGCCGGAGCUAACGCGUUAAAUAUGCCGCCUGGGGAGUACAGUCGCAAGGCUGAAACUCAAAGGAAUUGACGG